rnacentral:rRNA from 1 species
CCUACGGGCGGCAGCAGUGAGGAAUAUUGGUCAAUGGACGAGAGUCUGAACCAGCCAAGUAGCGUGAAGGAUGACUGCCCUAUGGGUUGUAAACUUCUUUUAUAAAGGAAUAAAACGAGGCACGUGUGCCUUUUUGCAUGUACUUUAUGAAUAAGGAUCGGCUAACUCCGUGCCAGCAGCCGCGGUAAUACGGAGGAUCCGAGCGUUAUCCGGAUUUAUUGGGUUUAAAGGGAGCGUAGAUGGGUUGUUAAGUCAGUGGUGAAAGUUUGCGGCUCAACUGUAAAAUUGCAAUUGAUACUGGCAGUCUAGAGAACAGUUGAGGUAGGCGGAAUGCGUGGUGUAGCGGUGAAAUGCUUAGAUAUCACGAAGAACCCCGAUUGCGAAGGCAGCUUACUAAACUGUGACUGACAUUGAUGCACGAAAGUGUGGGUAUCAAACAGGAUUAGAUACCCUAGUAGUC